GUGAACAAUAUGUAUCUGACAGAGUAAGCAGCAUGAUUUUGAGUCUGAAUUAGCUACUUAAAUGCAAUGAGCCACGUUCCUUGGAAUUAUGAAGUACAAUUUUAAGACAGUGAGAAUGCUGGAAAGGACUCUCUUGCAUGGUUUCCAAACACUUUAUCAUCUGUUUUAAAUUAAUGACAUUAAUUUAGGGCAGAAUCUGAAAUUUAUACAACUUCCUUUUUUUUUUGUCAGUUCCUUAUUUUGCUCCUCGCACCUGCUAGACAGGCUAUCUGUUGGACCGUGUCUCCAGAGGGAAACAGGCAGAGUGAAAAAUGAAGUUUGAGGACUUAAGAUGACCGGGCUACGACAGCUCCAAGAUUUCCAAGCCUCGGUCACCGAGUGCCGUCUGGGACAGACUGAUCAACCUUGUCAAUCCGCGGUCUAUAAAAAUAACCUGCUUCACUGGUCAUUCAGAGAUACUGUAAAAGACUCCGAAGGGCCAAAAACCCAGGGGCACAGAAAAAGCGAAAGCAGCGCGGGCCGCCGUCUGUGUCUCCGGGGCCUCGCCCAGUGACACUGCAGCUCGAGAGAGGGGAAGGCCAGCCAGCCCGAAGCGCCUGUCACACAGCCUGAUCUGAAAGACGAGCAGAUGAACAUUGGCCUGCUCUGACGGCUGCUCGCGCCGGCCAGUUGAACCCAGUCAGCUGACAGUAACUCUUCCUGAUUGAUGCUGUGGUCUCCGAACCAGAAGCUACCCUGAAGGUAUGACAUGCAAGGCUCAUGGUGCAACACUGUGUGUAUCUUGGCAACUGUUCAGCCCUCCGUAAAUAUGAGAAUAAUUAUAGAAAACACAGGCCUUUUGCGUAAAUAACGAUCAAUAAGAUGGAGUACACUUUGGAUUUAAUUAGAGAGCUGUAGUUUUGAAGACCAGAC
rnacentral:lncRNA from 1 species